rnacentral:rRNA from 1 species
GACGAACGCUGGCGGCGUGCUUAACACAUGCAAGUCGAACGAGUGGCGAACGGGUGAGUAAUACGUGAGUAACCUGCCCUCUUUUUGGGAUAAGCCUUGGAAACGGGGUCUAAUACCGAAUAAAGGGGGAUGGGCUCGCGGCCUAGCAGCUUGUUGGUGGGGUGAUGGCCUACCAAGGCGGUGACGGGUACCCGGACUGAGAGGGUGACCUGCAACAUUAGGACUGAGAUAAGGCCCAGAGUCCUACGGGAGUCAGCAGUUGGGGAUAUUGCACAAUGGGCGAAAGCCUGAUGCAGGGACGCCGCGAGGAGGAUGGAGGCUUUCGGGUUGUAGACCUCUUUCGCUAGCGAAUGGGUAGGUGGAGAAGAAGCGCCGGCUAACUACGUGCCAGCCGCCGCGGUAAUAC